GGCUUCGACCUGGGCUGUCUCCAGCUCUCCAACGAGAAGGUGGGCGACGUGGUGCUGCCGCGGUGGGCGCGGUCCCGCGAGGACUUCAUCCACCAGCACCGCAAAGCCCUGGAGUCAGAGUAUGUCUCAGCCCACCUCCACGAGUGGAUCGACCUCAUUUUUGGGUACAAGCAGCGAGGCCCGGCCGCCGUGGAGGCCCUCAAUGUCUUCUACUACUGCACCUACGAGGGGGCCGUGGACCUGGACGCCAUCGCCGACGAGACGCAGCGGAAGGCCCUGGAGGGCAUCAUCAGCAACUUCGGGCAGACGCCCUGCCAGCUGCUCAAGGAGCCCCACCCCGCACCUGCUGUCGGCAGAGAGCGCUGCCCCAGAGGCUGGCCGCCUC